rnacentral:rRNA from 1 species
CAGGUGUACGUCAAGGGCAUCUUGUGGGCUUAAUAGGCGUGCUGCAUGGGCGCUUGAUGGCAUGCAUGGCUUGUUCGUACUACACCGUUGGGCAUCUACAAAAACAUGAUAGCGACGUUUGCGAGGCGGCUGAGGCAAGGGCAAGCGGACGUCAAGGGCGUCCUGUGGGCUUAGUAGGCAUGUUGCGUGGGCGUUUGACGGCAUGCAUGGCUCGUCCAUGCUACGCCAUUGGGCGUUUACAAAAACAUGUCCGCGACGUCUGCGGGGCGUUUGAGGUGGUGGUAGGUGGACGUCAUGGGCGUCCUGUGGGCUUAGUAGGCGUGUUGCGUGGGCGCUUGACGGCAUGCAUGGCUUGUCCGUGCUACACAAUUGGGCAUCAACAAAAUAAGUCGAGCGACGUCUGCGGGGAUACUGAGGCAAAAGCAGGUGGAUGUCAAGGGCGUCCUUUGGGCUUAGUAGGCGUGAUGCGUGGGCACUUGAUAGAAUGCAUUGCUCGUCCGUGCUACGCCUUUGGGAGCUUGCAAAAACAUGCCAACGACGUAUGCGGGGUGACUAAGGCGUUACAAGGCGGACGUCAGGGGCGUCCAACAGGCUUAGUAGGCGUGCUGCGUGGGCGCUUGACGGCAUGCAUGCAUCGUCCGUUCUACGCCGUUGGGCGCUUUCAAAAACAUGCUAGCGAAGUCUGCGGGGCGACUGUGCACCGCCGAGGGAACUUCUUAUGAUCGGUUUAUUAUGGCGUUUGGUGUGGAAACGGCACUGCUUUCGGGUGAGUGACGAGUUCUAGAGCUCUUGUUAUGACUAACUCUAGGUGGCGCACGCACAUGCGCAAGUAAGAACAUGUACGGCCACAGGCUUGUCCGGAGACGUCGGCGGGAGCCUCAGGAAGAGUUAUAUUUUCUGUUUAACAGCUUGCCCACCCUGGAAUCGGCUCAGCCGGCGGUAGGGUCCAGCGGAUGGAAGAGCACCGCACGUCGCGUGGUGUCGUGUGCGCUCCCGACGCCCCUUGAAAAUCCGGAGGACCGAAUGCUGUCCACGCCCGGUUAUACUCAUAACCGCAUCACAUCUCUAAGGCGAACAACCUCUGGUUGAUGGAACAAUAUAGGCAAGGGAAGUCGGCAAAAUGGAUCCGUAACUUCGGGAAAAGGAUUGGCUCUAAGGGCUAGGCACAGGGGUCCCUGUCCCGAAUGCAUCGGCUGUCGGUGGACUGCUCGAGCUGCUUCUGCUGCGAGAGCGGGUCGCCACGUGCCGGAUAGGGGACGGACUGGGAACGGUUCCUUCGGGGGCCUUCCCCGGGUGUCGAACAGCCAACUCAAAACUGGUAUGGACAAGGGGAAUCCGACUGUUUAAUUAAAACAAAGCAUUCGAUGGUCCAACCGGAUGUUUACGCAAUGUGAUUUCUGCCCAGUGGUCUGAAUGUCAAAGUGAAGAAAUUCAACCAAGCGCGGGUAAACAGCGGGUGUAACUGUGACUUUGUUAAGGUAGCCAAAUGCCUCAUCAUCUAAUUAGUGACGCACAUGAAUGGAUUAACGAAAUUCCCACUGUCCCUGUCUACUAUCCAGCGUAACUAAAUCCUAGGGAACGGGCUUGGCAGAAUCAGCAGGGAAAGAAUACCCUGUUGAGCUUGACUGUAGUACGACUUUGUCAAAUUACUUGAGAGGUGUAGUAUAAGUGGGAGCCGAAAGGCGAAAGUGAAAUACCACUACUUUUAACGUUAUUUUACUUAUUCCGUGAAUCGAAAGCGGGGCACUGCCCCUCUUUUUUGACCCAAGGCUCGCUUCGCUGGCCGAUUCGUGCGGAAGACAUUGUCAGGUGGGGAGUUUGGAUGGGGCUGCACAUCUGUUAAAAGAUAACACAGGUGUCCUAAGAUGAGCUCAACGAGAACAGAAAUCUCGUGUGGAACAGAAGGGUAAAAGCUCGUUUGAUUUUGAUUUCCAGUACGAAUACGAACUGUGAAAGUGUGGCCUAACGAUCCUUUAGACCUUCGAAAUUCGAAGCUAUAGGUGUCAGAAAAUUUACCAAAUGGAUAACUGGCUUGUGGCAGACAAGCGUUCAUAGCGACAUUGCUUUUUGAACCUUCGAUGUCGGCUCUUCAUAUCAUUGUGAAGCAGAAUUCACCAAGUGUUUGAUUGUUCACCCACCAAUAGGGAACGUGAGCUGGGUUUAGACCGUUGUGAGACAGGUUAGUUUUACCCUACAAAUGAGAGUGUCGCAAUAGUAAUUCAACCUAGUACGAAAGGAACCGUUGAUUCACACAAUUGUCCAUCACGCUUGGUUGAAAAGCUAGUGGCGCGAAGCUACCAUGUGCUGGAUUAUGACUGAAUGCCUCUAAGUCAGAAUGCGGGCUAGAAGCGAUGCAUGCACCCGCUAUCCGCUUGCUGACCCACAGUAGGGGCCUAUGGCCCCCAAGGGCACAUGUCAUUGGCUAAGUCGCCGCGACCGAAGCGUCGCGGUGACCGCCUUACAGUAUAAUUUCCAUCGAGCGGCGGGUAGAAUCCUUUGCAGAUGACUUGAAUACGCGACGGGGUAUUGUAAGUGGCAGAGUGGCCUUGCUUCCACGAUCUACUGAGAUUCAUCCCUUUGUUGCUCUGAUUCGU